UGGCCACCCGGGGAAGAGGAGAAUGCUUGCUGCCUUUAGUUUCAUAGCAUCCCCAGACACUUCUCCCCUUCCAGAGUGGGGCAAGGCUGUGUCAGUGAGGUUAAUAGAAAGGACCCAACAGCAACCCCGAGUGUCAGAACGACUUCGCUGGCUGGCUGUGAGAGUUUCUGACAGCAACCUUGCAGAGUUUAUGGCUGAGUUGUUUCUAAUCUAAUUGAAGUGACAAGACCAUCCUUGGAAAAUCUCACUGCUGGCAACAGAUGCGGAAGCCUGGGAGUUUCAGCAGAAGAUCAGCUUCUGACGCUGACAGCAUCUUCUGUCUCAGCGUGUUUGCUUUGCACUGUGCUCAAUAAAUAUUCCUGCUAGGACAACUGGAA
rnacentral:lncRNA from 1 species